rnacentral:rRNA from 1 species
GAUGAACGCUGGCGGCGUGCCUAAUACAUGCAAGUCGAGCGAACAGACGAGGAGCUUGCUCCUCUGACGUUAGCGGCGGACGGGUGAGUAACACGUGGAUAACCUACCUAUAAGACUGGGAUAACUUCGGGAAACCGGAGCUAAUACCGGAUAAUAUAUUGAACCGCAUGGUUCAAUAGUGAAAGACGGUUUUGCUGUCACUUAUAGAUGGAUCCGCGCCGCAUUAGCUAGUUGGUAAGGUAACGGCUUACCAAGGCAACGAUGCGUAGCCGACCUGAGAGGGUGAUCGGCCACACUGGAACUGAGACACGGUCCAGACUCCUACGGGAGGCAGCAGUAGGGAAUCUUCCGCAAAGGGCGAAAGCCUGACGGAGCAACGCCGCGUGAGUGAUGAAGGUCUUCGGAUCGUAAAACUCUGUUAUUAGGGAAGAACAAAUGUGUAAGUAACUAUGCACGUCUUGACGGUACCUAAUCAGAAAGCCGCGGCUAACUACGUG